rnacentral:lncRNA from 1 species
AAACUAAGGGACAAAGGGAGGGGGGGGAUGACCUCUCUGAUCCCUACAGCCUCCAAUUCUGUGACGCAACUUCCAUCACUGCAGGGAGUGGGGUUCUGCCAACAUACCUCCAUCUUGAUCCCUCAGAAAAAAAACUGCCACAAGGAGACAUUUAUUUGCAAGGUUCACAGAGGAAUGAAUUUCAUCUUAUCUAUAUGGUACGGUGUUCCUCAGAGCCUGAUUCUUGAUGACAAUAAAAUGUUAUCGAAUGAACAUAUAUAUGGCAGGAAAUGUUUCUAUUGGCAAAAUUCACCACAAGAAAAACAUGUACAAAAGAGACGUACACUUGGGGAGCAACCAAAAAUGACAUCACAAUGAACAUUAUUUAUGUCGAUACAGACGUCUCCUUUGGUUUCAAAGGAUUUUGAAAUGGAUCUUUCAUUCAUCAUUUACUCAGUCCAUAUCUAAAGCAGUGCGGCUUAUUUCAAAGAAGAAAGGACUGAGAGUCAGGAGACCUGAGUUCUAAUCCCAGGUCCACAACUUGCCAGUAAUGUGACCUCAGUUAAUAAAGUUUUCUCUGGGCUUCAAUUUCUCCAUCUACAAAAUGGGAUUAUUAUUAUUAAUGACAGUAAUAAUAAUAGUUCUAAUUGUAAGUGCUUACUACACAUCAACUGUGUAUACACAUUGCCU